ACGCUCGACACCUACGGGAGGCAGCAGUGGGGGAUAUUGCACAAUGGGGGAAACCCUGAUGCAGCAACGCCGCGUGAGGGAAGAAGGUUUUCGGAUUGUAAACCUCUGUCCCCGGGGAAGAUAAUGACGGUACCCGGGGAGGAAGCUCCGGCUAACUACGUUCCAGCAGCCGCGGUAAUCUGAGCGGGCUGGCAAGGC
rnacentral:rRNA from 1 species